rnacentral:misc_RNA from 1 species
AUCUCAUCAAUUCCAACACUCCCACUUGAUGAAAUUCUUAUUAAAGCCAAGAACUCCCUCACAAUAGCUCACAAAUAGCACAACUAGCAGUUCACAAGGAUGCACAAACACUAGAGCUUGAUAACAAUGAAUUUUAAAAAAAGGACCCAAAACCAUCCUUAGAACAUUGCAACAAGUCCAACAAUCCUCAGGUUCAAUAAUACCCAUAAGAAACCACCAAAGGGAACCAGAUUAGAAGCACCUACAAAAAGGCACGAACACACAAAGCAACUCACAAGGUUGCACUACCCUCUCCAAAAGCAAUGCUAGUAAGGAAACACCAAUACAAAGCAACUCACAAUAUUGCACUUCCCUCUCUAAAAGUGACACCGGCAAGGAAAAAGACUGAAACAGUAGUCAGAUUUUCCACCAGCUCACGGAGCCCAAAUACAAAA